AGGUGACACCCCAGACUUCAUGGAGACAGGCUGUCCUCACACGGUAGCUGACCCACAGAAUGUGUGAUCAUAAUAGAGUGGUUGUCAGUUUACACCACGAAGCUUUGUGGUGGCUGCUGCCCAGCACUAGGUGAGGGAACCCCACUCCUACAAGGUGCCAAGAUUCUCCAGGACCAGGCCCAGCAGGACGGACCGGACCAAACCGCGUCCUCCAGCCCGCCGCUCGGGUGACCACCACUGACUUCAAAACACGAAGGACGAGCAGGGUGUAAAGGUCUCAGAAGCCCAUGUGAUGCCUCUCCGGGACGACCAGCGUUUGUGUUUCUUCCAUCCAGUAGGAGCAGACAAGGAGACUGGAGUUUGGAGAAGCUUGGUGACCCACCCAGCGUCCCCCAGCUAGCACCAGGGACCCACCCUCACUGUCCCUCAAGAACACAGCGUUCUGCAUGUCAAGGAGGCUGCAGGGCUUCCUCUGUGCGGAAACUUCUAGACACUGGCUCCUCCUUCUCAGAGCUCAGUGAGGGGCACUGGCUACAGCUCAGAGAAGGAACGCCACUGUCCUCACAGCCCUCAGCCCUGGAGGACAUAGAGGGAGUAUCAUUGUUACAAUCAUUGAAGUAUCACCAUAAACUCACCAGUUA
rnacentral:lncRNA from 1 species